UACGUAGGUGGCAAGCGUUAUCCGGAUUUACUGGGUGUAAGGGGCGUGUGGGCGGGGACGCAAGUCAGAUGUGAAAACCACGGGCUCAACCUGUGGCCUGCAUUUGAAACUGUGUUUCUUGAGUACUGGAGAGGCAGACGGAAUUCCUAGUGUAGCGGUGAAAUGCGUAGAUAUUAGGAGGAACACCAGUGGCGAAGGCGGUCUGCUGGACAGCAACUGGCGCUGAGGCGCGAAAGCGUGGGGAGCAAACAGG
rnacentral:rRNA from 1 species